AGAUAGGAAAAUUGGUAACCUAUACGCGUCGAUUUUUAUUCAGAUCGUUUCGAGACGUUGGAUGACAAGUCGUAGAACUUUUAUUUUUCGAUAAAAGAGUCAGCCAAUCCUCGCUUCUACCCUGAAAAUCGAUUUUAUAUCCGAUAUGAAGUCGAUAGACGUGCCAUUCUUCGUUAACGGUAGAAAAAGAGAAUAAUACAUUUUUAUGCUUGGAAUUUAAAAUCGUACGAGAAAAAUUAAUUGAAAUUGGUUAAUACCGUACAAUUUCGAUUUUUUCUUAGACUACAGUAUAUCGGACGUGGCUAUUUAAAGGAGAAUUCAUUCAAUACGGAAGCAAGCAUCAGCAGCGGUGAUAAAUCUUUAUAAAGAAUAAAGAACAUGAACACACUCCAACAAGUUUUUUCUCUUUAUCCGACAGCGAGCCAGCUGGCCACCAUUUGCUGUUUACUUUCUACCACUUAAUCCGCAGAAUUGUUUGCAACACUUUUCUCAUAAUAUUCUACCUCUUUAAAUAACCCUUUUUAUAUAUACCGAAGUUUGAACAAAAUCGGAUACCAGCCAAAUUCUGAAAUAUUGGCUGAAAUUAUUUAAAAAUUGAAGAGGAAAUACUGGAUGCAAGGUUGUAAUUAAAAAAGAAAAAUCGAUUGAACACUUAGUCAGAGAGGAAGGUUGAGGAUUCCUCUGGAUCAGCUUCCUCUUUGACCGUUUCCAUCGAGCAACACGACUUCUUGAUUGAAACAAGGACAAGUGGUCCGCGAAACCCGUUAUAACACGGCAAACCACAUUUAACUAUCGGAUAUUUUUAGAACCUGAUCGAUAACCCGAUUGCGUUACUGCCAACCAGUUGAUGAUUCUUCCUCUUCUAUGUUCGUUUCGUCGAAAAGUUAGUGGAAACUUGGGAUCGCUCGAGAAAUCGCACAAAAAUUCCGAUUGGCCUUUGCUAGAUCCACCAAGUUGCGUCAUACGCAAACUCGUGAUUCCCUGUAAUUUUAUAUGCAGGAUGUCUCAGCUGACUAGAGACAUUUCGCGUUAUCGAUGAUGGGAACAAAUAGGAGAAACCUUUAUUUGAUUUGGAGGGGCAGGUACGACGGUAAGCGUGACAUUUUUCUGUGGCUCAUAUUUCGCUAGAUUUUAAGGUCACUGAUGUAUUUUUGAAUGGAGCUUGAAUAAAAUUCCAAAAUCUUG